rnacentral:lncRNA from 1 species
UAAAUCGUGCGUGGAGCGCGGCCUUAUCAUUAUGUACAUAGUCUGUGUAAAUGCUCGUGUUCAGUUUAGUAUCCAUUCAAUUUACAGUUAUAGAGAUCAACGAGCUACAACGUCGACAGCAAAUAUUGACCAAAGUGCUUUGAAAAAAUCUCACGGUAAACAUAAUCUGACGACUGACAAGCUGUACUAUACAUCUCUAAGCCGAAAUGAGUGGUUACGCGAAACUUCUGAUUUUCGCCUUUCUGUUGGUUCUGUCUGUAAGCCAAGUAUUAGGAUGCAGAGGCCAAUGUUGGAAAGAUGUUAAGCCUCGUGACGAUUUUUGUUCGGAAAUAUUCAGAUACCAAUACACUACUAUGGCACCGGCAAAUGUGUUGUGUUACUGUUGUAGAAGGUUAUGAACAAUGAUGCAAUACACGCCGUAUCAACUGCAGAAACUCAAGAUAAGCAUUACAGUAUAAUAUAAUAAUACUCAGAAGAAAUUCAGAAACAUAAUUUGAUAAAACAAAAACCAUCUCCUAGCUUAAAGAUUAUAAUUUUUAUUUUAAAAUG